AGACAGCAGUCGCCGCGGGAAUACGGAGGGUGCAAGCGUUAAUCGGAAUUACUGGGCGUAAAGCGCACGCAGGCGGUCUGACAAGUCAGAUGUGAAAUCCCCGGGCUUAACCUGGGAACUGCAUUUGAAACUGUCAGGCUGGAGUCUUGUAGAGGGGGGUGGAAUUCCAGGUGUAGCGGUGAAAUGCGUAGAGAUCUGGAGGAAUACCGGUGGCGAAGGCGGCCCCCUGGACAAAGACUGACGCUCAGGUGCGAAAGCGUGGGGAGCAAACAGGAUUAGAGACCCCGGUAGUCCCUGUCUCUUAUAC
rnacentral:rRNA from 1 species